GGUAGUGUGGCCGAGUGGUUAGGGUGCUGGACUUGUAAUCCAGUGUCCCAGGUUCAAGUCCUCCACCCUACCA
rnacentral:tRNA from 1 species